rnacentral:rRNA from 1 species
GUGGGGAAUAUUGGACAAUGGGCGAAAGCCUGAUCCAGCCAUGCCGCGUGUGUGAAGAAGGUCUUCGGAUUGUAAAGCACUUUAAGUUGGGAGGAAGGGCAGUAAGUUAAUACCUUGCUGUUUUGACGUUACCGACAGAAUAAGCACCGGCUAACUUCGUGCCAGCAGCCGCGGUAAUACGAAGGGUGCAAGCGUUAAUCGGAAUUACUGGGCGUAAAGCGCGCGUAGGUGGUUUUGUAAGUUGGAGGUGAAAUCCCCGGGCUCAACCUGGGAACUGCCUCCAAAACUGCAUUACUAGAGUACGGUAGAGGGUAGUGGAAUUGCCUGUGUAGCGGUGAAAUGCGUAGAUAUAGGAAGGAACACCAGUGGCGAAGGCGACUACCUGGACUGAUACUGACACUGAGGUGCGAAAGCGUGGGGAGCAAACAGGAUUAGAAACCCUGGUAGUCC